rnacentral:lncRNA from 1 species
AUUUUCGGCCAAAUCCAAAGGGUGGAUUUUUGGGUUAUUGUUUGACUUGUUAAAAAUGUUUUAAGGUAACUUUUGGAACCUCUAUGUACCCUAGUUUGGUUAUAUGUUAUUUCCCUAAAGUUUGAAUGGUUUUGGAAUGUUUUUGGAGUAAAAAUGUUCAUGGAAAAUUUUUGAGUUUUUCAUGAAUGUUCUUCAUUGUUCUUGACAUUUUUGCCAAGAACAAAAAGUUUUGUGUUUUGAUUCAAAGUUUUGAUUUAUUUCAUAAAGUUUAUGUUUUAUGUUUUUCAAAUGAUUUAAUGUUUUAGAUAUUUGUUUAAAUGGUGUAAGAGAUGUAAGAGAUAUUAUGGUGGGUGUGAAAGGAUUAAUUCCCUUUCACACACACCAGUUGCACCACUUGCAUGCUUUAUGUCUAACUUAGCAAUCAACACACACAUCACUCAUUUCUCCUAUCCAAAACCGGCCCUCCCUCAAGUGGGAGUACUUUUGGGGCUUUUAUGCAAUUACAUAAAGUUUUGAUACUUUUGUGUAUUUGCACUUUGGCCCAAAAGUUUACAUUUUUACGUUUAGGUCCAAAAACGCUAAAGGACAAAUUGUUUUACUCCUUUAAUGAAGUUUUUGCAUUGUUUAAAUUUUGGGUUCUAGUGUAAUUACAUGAAGUAGUGGACUUUUGUGUUCUUACAAAGUGACCCCAAAAGUUUAUGUUUUUUCAAUAUUGCCCAAAGGUUGUGGUAAUUGCAUUUUGGCCCAAAUUAGGUUGAGAACAAAAUUGUUUUGUCUCUUUAAAUGAGAAUUGGAUUUUCAUUUAAUUUAGCUCCAUUUAAAUCAAUUUUAUGGAUACAAAAACCAAAUGAAAUUGUUGCAUUCAAUUUAAUUAGUUAAAGUGUUAAUUAAUUAAAGGGUGAUUAUGAACCUAAGCCUACGAUAAUUAAGCUAUGUGAUAGGCCGUUUCAAAUUUGUUUGAACCAUGAGAAUGUGUAGAUUAGAUUUUGGUUGUAAUUUGAUUUGAUCAAAUGUUGUAAAAGAGCUUAAGCUCUUCUUUACUUUAAUGUAAUUUGUUUUAUGCAAAUGUUGUAAUGAGCAUAAGCUCACCUUUACUUUGAAGUACUUCUUUCUUGCUUUAUUUGAUAUGCAUGAAAAUGAAGUAGUUGGGUCCAACGCCCCUAAGACAACACGCCUUAAUGUGAUUAAACGCGUAACUCAAAUCAAUCACCAUCCCUAGACCGAGAUUCAACACAAGGCUCGUGUUGAAUCUAAACAAAGGUUCAUAGUCAUCCUAAGGCCCUAAGGCAACUAUAUAGUCCAUCAAAUGAAUGCAAAGGUUAUGUUAGUAGUAUCAUAUACUCUUGCUUUAAAAACCAUUUUAUAAGCAUAGUGGGAGUAUUAUAUACAACUAAAAACAAUCAUAUGGACCAAUAGUUGUAAUAGGACCAAAAUUGUUUUAAUAGAGAUUAAAAUGUAUGUUUAUAUGUGAUGAGACCUAAAACCCUCAACCAAACCAUUAUUAAGUUGAUAAGCGUGAGAGUGCUUUGAACACUCUUUCGUGGCCUUCCACCGUGGUAGGCUCCAAUCGUUUAUGACUUGUACACCGCCUUCACCCUAUCAUGGGGGAGUGCAAAGUGCAUGCUUAUACUCAGGAGGAGUCUAUAUACAUACUUGAUGAGGUGAGUGUAGGCAACGAGGAUGGCCGACAUCGUAUCAUCGUGAGGCUAUUCUUGAACCCCUUCAUGAACUAAGCAUGGUGGGAAUGACUUAACUAAGUGCAAUGGAGCCAACAUCAUAUCAUUGUGAGGUGACAUUCUCUAGAGGCCAAAUAAGAUGGGUACUUGCAAAUAUGCAAAUGAGUAAGCGUACUCUCUCAUUAUUAUUAAUGCUAGCCAACAUCAUAUCAUUGUGAGGUGGGCUUGGUAGUAGUGAGUCUCCAAUACCCUACUAAGAGUUUCAUCCAAAACUCUCGAAUUCCAAUGAGGGAUAUGGAAUUUUCCAAAAAUAGUGGGUGGUGCUAUUUGAUUUAAAGACCCGAAUCAAAUGGCUUAAAAUCAAUCAAUUUAUAUUCGUUAUGUAUUUGUUUACCAAUAUAUUUGCAAACGCUAUCCAACACUUGACAAAUAAAAACCGAAAGUUUAGUUUCCGUACUUGGUACUACAAAACCAUAGACUGUCUUUAAUGGCUUGUAAAUGUACCUAAGUAGUCUCAUCCUCACAAUCUUCCUAUUGAUAAUGUAUCAUUGGAAGAACAUGUUAGAUAAGGUCUAUCAUAAAGAGGACAACACUUUUAAUGUCAUAAUUCUUCAAAUACAAUUUGUUGUAUGAAGAAAUAGGAGUUGCUUUGAACAACUCUUAGUCAAUGCAAACACUUAGUGCUUGUUUCUUUGUUAUAUGAACAAAGAACUUGAGAAGAAAGCACAAAGGCAUGGACACUUAAUGUGCCAUGAUUCUUCACUUACAAUUUGUUGUAUGAAGAAAUAAGAGUUGCCUUGUACAACUCUUGAAAGUUUGUAAUUAUGUUUAGAACAUAAUGGUUGGUUGACAAAAAUAGUCCAUUAACAUGGACUUAUGAUGAUUUUGAAUCAUUGAGUGUUGAAGUGAUAAACCACUUAACGAGAUGGAAACUAGGCAAGGACUUCACCUAUGUGUCCCUAUCCUAAUGGUUCACUAAGUUUAUUGUAAACUAUGUAGUGAACAAUAACCACAUACUCUCCAAAAUGUUUGAUGUGUAUAACACAAUUGAAAUAAGUUCAAGAGAGAUAGUGGGAGUUUAGGGACCAUGACUAUUGUAGUCAAAGGAGAAGUCAAAUGAAGAAGAUAAAAUUAACUCCAAGGGAACAAACUUUCUUUAUGAAAGGAUGGACAUUGGAAGGGGUAUAUGCAAGAAAUGUCUUGCAAGUGUCAAGAACACACCUUUCGAAGGUGUUGUAAAUUGUUCUUGAAUAGUUCAAAAC